AUUGAACGCUGGCGGCAGGCUUAACACAUGCAAGUCGAGCGGGGUGAUGGUGCUUGCACUAUCACUUAGCGGCGGACGGGUGAGUAAUGCUUAGGAAUCUGCCUAUUAGUGGGGGACAACAUCUCGAAAGGGAUGCUAAUACCGCAUACGUCCUACGGGAGAAAGCAGGGGAUCACGUGUGACCUUGAGCUCAUAGAUGAGCCUAAGUCGGAUUAGCUAGUUGGUGGGGUAAAGGCCUACCAAGGCGACGAUCUGUAGCGGGUCUGAGAGGAUGAUCCGCCACACUGGGACUGAGACACGGCCCAGACUCCUACGGGAGGCAGCAGUGGGGAAUAUUGGACAAUGGGGGGAACCCUGAUCCAGCCAUGCCGCGUGUGUGAAGAAGGCCUUAUGGUUGUAAAGCACUUUAAGCGAGGAGGAGGCUCUUUUGGUUAAUACCCAAGAUGAGUGGACGUUACUCGCAGAAUAAGCACCGGCUAACUCUGUGCCAGCAGCCGCAGUAA
rnacentral:rRNA from 1 species